rnacentral:rRNA from 1 species
CAGGCCUAACACAUGCAAGUCGAACGAGAACGGGUUAAAGCUUGCUUUAACUGUCAGCUAAGUGGCGCACGGGUGAGUAAUAUAUAGGUAAUGUGCCCUAGAGAGGGGGAUAACAUUUGGAAACGAAUGCUAACACCCCAUAUGCCUUUAAGUCAUAAGACUGCAAGGGAAAUAUUUAUAGCUCUAGGAUCGGCCUGUACGGUAUCAGCUUGUUGGUGAGGUAAUGGCUCACCAAGGCUAUGACGCCUAACUGGUUUGAGAGGAUGAUCAGUCACACUGGAACUGAGACACGGUCCAGACUCCUACGGGAGGCAGCAGUGGGGAAUAUUGCACAAUGGAGGAAACUCUGAUGCAGCAACGCCGCGUGGAGGAUGACACAUUUCGGUGCGUAAACUCCUUUUAUAUAGGAAGAUAAUGACGGUACUAUAUGAAUAAGCACCGGCUAACUCCGUGCCAGCAGCCGCGGUAAUACGGAGGGUGCAAGCGUUACUCGGAAUCACUGGGCGUAAAGAGCGUGUAGGCGGGUUAAUAAGUCAGAUGUGAAAGCCUAUGGCUCAACCAUAGAACUGCAUUUGAAACUGUUAACCUAGAGUAUGGGAGAGGUAGAUGGAAUUUCUGGUGUAGGGGUAAAAUCCGUAGAGAUCAGAAGGAAUACCGAUUGCGAAGGCGAUCUACUGGAACAUUACUGACGCUGAGACGCGAAAGCGUGGGGAGCAAACAGGAUUAGAU